UACGGAGGGGGCUAGCGUUGUUCGGAAUUACUGGGCGUAAAGCGCACGUAGGCGGCUUUGUAAGUUAGAGGUGAAAGCCCGGGGCUCAACUCCGGAAUUGCCUUUAAGACUGCAUCGCUAGAAUUGUGGAGAGGUAAGUGGAAUUCCGAGUGUAGAGGUGAAAUGCGUAGAGAUGCGGAGGAACACCGAUGGCGAAGGCAGCCCCCUGGGCUAGCACUGACGCUCAGGCACGAAAGCGUGGGGAGCAAACAGGG
rnacentral:rRNA from 1 species